GACGAACUGAGCGAACGUUGUUCGGAAUCACUGGGCUUAAAGGGCGCGUAGGCGGGUGCUCAAGUCCGGGGUGAAAUCCUCCAGCUCAACUGGAGAACUGCCUCGGAUACUGGGUGCCUCGAGGGUGGUAGGGGUAUGCGGAACUAUCGAUGGAGCGGUGAAAUGCGUUGAUAUCGAUAGGAACUCCGGUGGCGAAGGCGGCAUACUGGACCACAUCUGACGCUGAGGCGCGAAAGCCAGGGGGAGCAAACGGG
rnacentral:rRNA from 1 species